AUUGAACGCUGGCGGCAGGCCUAACACAUGCAAGUCGAGCGAGCGGCGGACGGGUGAGUAAUGUAUGGGGAUCUGCCUGAUGGAGGGGGAUAACUACUGGAAACGGUGGCUAAUACCGCAUACUAUCCGAUGAACCCAUAUGGGAUUAGCUAGUAGGUGGGGUAAAGGCUCACCUAGGCGACGAUCUCUAGCUGGUCUGAGAGGAUGAGCAGACACACGGGAACGGAGACACGGUCCAGACUCCUACGGGAGGAAGCAGUGGGGAAUAUUGCACAAUGGGCGCAGUCCUGAUGCAGCCAUGCCGCGUGUAUGAAGAAGGCCUUCGGGUUGUAAAGCACUUUCAGCGAGGAGGCGUUACCCGCAGAAGAAGCACCGGCUAACUCCGUGCCAGCAGCCGCGGUAAUAC
rnacentral:rRNA from 1 species